CAACAUUCCUUUGGUUCAAAAUCAUUUAAUGGCCUCCUACCUGGUCUCAAGAAAAAGCCUUGGUUACUGACUACGUUUCAACCAUUUGAGACUGCCACAGGUUAAAUUCUGUAUAGGUGAAGUGGAUCCCAGCCAAAAUCUCAGAAAAGUAGAUGGAAAAGGAUUUUUCCUCCCCUACAUAACCUCCUGAUUAGGUCAAAAGUGCAAGAAAGAGUGAAUAAAGAGAUUACAUUUAAGAACAUAUUUUUUUCAAAUUUUAAAAGGUUCAAAACUUCCCUCUCAACCCCCCAAAAUGUGUCCCCUACUUACUGGCAGCCCAGUGACUCACUUCUAUAUCAAAGUGAGAUGGUCCUCCAGCAAGAGUAAGAGUAGGCUUCCUUUUAAGAACUCAGCUUUGCAGGUUAAUUAUUAACAUGAAAUGUCAAUAUUUUAUAUGUUAAAGACCUCAAUCCCAAUUUUCACUAUAAUCUUUGUUCACCAAAAAUUACUACAACAACUUGGAGAGAAAAUAAGAUACUUUAUUUGUUCUUGGUUCUCUAAGCUAGAGUCUCCCUAUCACUGUGCAGCAGGUAAAACAAAUUAAGUUAAACAUGUGAUUAAUCCCCUCUGUCCUUAGGACAGUUGAUUAUAAGCUGGUUCUCUAACCCAGCCCUCACUCAACUGUUCCAAGAACAGAAGGAAUAAAUGUCUUGGUACAAAUGCAACCCAUUCACAGCACACUAUGACAACUUAUUGGUUAGGAAACUAUAGACUAAAUGGGUUUUUUUUAACCUUAUUUUCUUUGAUUCAUGAACUAUAAAAAAUAAAUAAUGAUGGUCUUCUCCUAAAGCAUUAAAAUGAUAAAUAUUUCCUAUUAGAAGUAAAUUUCUUCUACUGGAAGUAAAUAUCUUCUUUGUAAAGCUCUUAACCUAAGACAGUGUCCGCAAAGUGCUGUCUCAGACCAGCAGCAUCAGUAUCUCCUGAGAAUGUUAGAAAUUCUUGGCCCCAGCACAGACUACUGCAUCAGAAACUCUGGGAGUGGGCUCAGCAACCUGUGUUUUAACAAGCCCUCCAGCUAUAUCUGAGGGCUACCAAAGUUUGAGAAUCAUUGUCCUUAGGCAUGUUGGUAAAUCUGAAACAGUAAGAAUAUUGCCUAACAUUUACUUAGUAGUUACAGUGUGCCACACAAAAUGCUAAAAAAUUUCAAAUAAGUUCUCAUUUCAUCUCAUUUUAAAAGGAUGAAUUGAAACUACUGCUAAUUAGGCUAGAUAGCUGAAAUAAAUAAAAUUAUUUUUUUAAACUACAUGAGAUUUCACUCAUUCAAAUUGGUCUUCUUUGUCCCCAUUCCAAAUUAGUAAUUUUACUAUAAAGAUUUACAAAGGUCUUCCCCUAUAGAGGUAUUCUCUUCUCUAUCAUUCAACACGUGUGAAUAAUUACAUUCCCUUAUUU